rnacentral:lncRNA from 1 species
UGGUUCUCAGAAUCACCUGGAAGCUGGUUAAAACCCAGUUUGCUGGACCCUCCCUCAGAAUUUCUAACUCAGCAGCUCUGAAGUGGGCCAAGAAUUUGCACCAAGUCUCCAAAGGAUGCUGGUGCCUUUGAUCCAGGGACCACACUGCUCAAGAGGCGCUCACCACAUGAAGAGUCAACUCAUUUCCAUGGAGCCUGUGUUCCCUGCAAGCCCAUACUCUCCCCGAGGGCAGGAACUUCAGCUCUGCUUUUUUCCACAAUGGGACAAUGCUGGAGACUUCCUAAGUAUUUGUUGAAUGAAUUAAUGAAUCCUGUUAAUUAUUUUGACUUUUUGAUCUUUGAGGACUUUCUAAUUUCCCCUGAUUGCAGGGGAAAUGCUCUAGGAAAGAAGAUCCAAAGGAAAGGAGAAAAGAAAACAAGAGAAGAAAAGAAGGGGGAAAAGGAAGGAGCUCUUUUCACAAAGCAAGACUUUUUAGUAUUGCCUAGGGGUGUCCUUGUGCCUCUGCUUCAGCGUUCAAAGCUGUCCUUUGUGAUAACACUGGGCCAGCAGGAGAAUCCAAGAUCAUCUCCUCAUCUCAAGAUCUUUAACUUGGUCACUUCUGCAGAGUUCCUUUGCCAUAGUCUCCAGCUUGCAGAAAAUUCCAUGUCUUUUAAGGAUGUGUGCUGA